rfam:Triticum aestivum genome assembly, contig: Triticum_aestivum_CS42_TGACv1_scaffold_080282_1DS
UAAAUACUCCCUCCGUCCGGAAAAGCUUGUCCCAAGUUUGUUCCUCAAAUGGAUGUAUCUAGCACUAAUUUGGUGCUAGAUAAAUCCAUUUGAGGGACAGGUUUUUUCGGACGGAGGGAGUACUAU